AGCUCCAAUAGCGUAUAUUAAAGUUGUUGCAGUUAAAAAGCUCGUAGUUGGAUCUCGGGAGCAGGCCGGCGGUCCGCCUCGCGGCGGGUUUUUCCCGUCCCGCCCCCCCCGCCGGGUUUUCCCCCGGGGUCUUCCUUUGAGGGCCCCGGGUGGCCGGAACGUUUACUUUGAAAAAAUUAGAGUGUUCAAAGCAGGCAGUUCGCCUGAAUAAUGGUGCAUGGAAUAAUGGAAUAGGACCUCGGUUCUAUUUUGUUGGUUUUCGGAACUUGAGGUAAUGAUUAAGAGGGACAGACGGGGGCAUUCGUAUUACACUGUUAGAGGUGAAAUUCUUGGAUCGGUGUAAGACGAACUACUGCGAAAGCAUUUGCCAAGAAUGUUUUCA
rnacentral:rRNA from 1 species